UACUGCUCCUGCUUUCUAUAAAACUUCUCUUUUCAAAUGCCAUGUGUCAUGUUCCCUUUAAGGAGACUUUUCAGAGAAGAUAAUUGUACAAAACCAUGGUGCUUACACUUUGUUAAAGCUAACAGGCCUUAUAUGCAUAUUGAAAUUAAAUUUACAAAGUAGUGGGUUGAGAUGGUUUUCAAAUAUGCAUGAGUGAAUGUCAUCACCAUUAGCAACUGAAAUUUCAUUGAAAUGUCUUUUUUUCAUAAACAUAAUCUGGGUAUUUGAAGAGUGUCUUGUGCUAAAUGAGAGUGUGAAUUAUAAAUGGGUGUGGAUAAUGGGAAGUCACAUUUGCCCAUGGCUUGCAUCGUGAGCUGCUUUGAGAAAAGAUUGAUUGGGUUUUUGAAAUUCCAUCUUUUGUUGUCUCCUGUGGACACCAUUCUUCUUUGUACCUCUCCUCUCUCACCUGCUUUGCAGCACUGACCAUUAAGCCACCAGAUGGAGAACACACCACUGCGGGCACAAGAUCCAUGCAGGCAGCCUUGUACCACCGCUGCCUGCCAGGAAAGGGCACCAGAAAGCACCACUUCCUCCAAGAAGCAGCAGCCACAAGGCUGAAACACUGCCAACAGCCCCAGAGCACUCCAGGGAAAGGGCUGCAACAGCCACUGUGGACAGCUGGAACAUCCUGUAGCAGCAGGACACCAUAACCUCGGCAGGGUGGGUCUGUACCCUUCCUCUGCAAGCAAGAAAGCUGAGAGCAGCUCUCCUGAUCCUGGCCCGAGUAUUUAUGACAAAACAAUGAUUCAGUGCCUUUGUGCCCACAGCAGGCAGCUGCCUUGCCUUCAACCUCACACUGCAACAGGAGAAAGGAACAAGACAGACCUAAGCAGGGUUGUGGAAUCUGGGUGCUCCAUGUGAUGGAUUCCUCCCAGCUGGGUGUCACAGCCGUGCAGGAGCAGCGCUGAGCUGGCACUGGGAUAAUGCAGAGAGUGCAAGCAACUUCCCAUGGUGAUCCACCUUGGCAGCAGCAAAACUGACAGAAGUGAACUGUGGCCUCCUACUGCAGCAGGCUGAGCACGACCCUGUCUUGAAGCUACGCUUCAAUGUCCCUUCAAGGAAGCUGGUCCGUCUCCUCUCCAGAGUGUGACUGCUGCUGCUGCUCUUUGUUGAGUGCAGUAUUUUGGAUUUCAGCCUGUUAACUGGGUAGAUUCCAU